AACGAACGCUGGCGGCAUGCCUUACACAUGCAAGUCGAACGGCAGCGGACCUUCGGGUGCCGGCGAGUGGCGAACGGGUGAGUAAUAUAUCGGAACGUACCUUUCAGUGGGGGAUAACGUAGCGAAAGUUACGCUAAUACCGCAUAUUCUGUGAGCAGGAAAGCAGGGGAUCGCAAGACCUUGCGCUGAUUGAGCGGCCGAUAUCAGAUUAGCUAGUUGGUGAGGUAAAGGCUCACCAAGGCGACGAUCUGUAGCGGGUCUGAGAGGAUGAUCCGCCACACUGGGACUGAGACACGGCCCAGACUCCUACGGGAGGCAGCAGUGGGGAAUCUUAGACAAUGGGCGCAAGCCUGAUCUAGCCAUGCCGCGUGAGCGAUGAAGGCCUUAGGGUUGUAAAGCUCUUUCAGUGGGGAAGAUAAUGACUGUACCCACAGAAGAAGCCCCGGCUAACUCCGUGCCAGCAGCCGCGGUAAUGU
rnacentral:rRNA from 1 species